rnacentral:rRNA from 1 species
AGUGAACGCUGGCGGUAGGCCUAACACAUGCAAGUCGAACGGCAGCACAGAGGAGCUUGCUCCUUGGGUGGCGAGUGGCGGACGGGUGAGGAAUACAUCGGAAUCUACUCUGUCGUGGGGGAUAACGUAGGGAAACUUACGCUAAUACCGCAUACGAACUACGGGUGAAAGCAGGGGAUCUUCGGACCUUGCGCGACUGAAUGAGCCGAUGUCGGAGUAGCUAGUUGGCGGGGUAAAGGCCCACCAAGGCGACGAUCCGUAGCUGGUCUGAGAGGAUGAUCAGCCACACUGGAACUGAGACACGGUCCAGACUCCUACGGGAGGCAGCAGUGGGGAAUAUUGGACAAUGGGCGCAAGCCUGAUCCAGCCAUACCGCGUGGGUGAAGAAGGCCUUCGGGUUGUAAAGCCCUUUUGUUGGGAAAGAAAUCCAUCUGGUUAAUACCCGGGUGGGAUGACGGUACCCAAAGAAUAAGCACCGGCUAACUUCGUGCCAGCCGCCGCCGUAA